ACAUUUUAAUUACAGAGAGCCUAUGGACUCUAACAAUCAAGAAUGGCUUGUAAUCAACGCUGACACUCUAGGUAAUAUUUUUGACUAAAGAGGCUGAUGUCCUAAAGGAACCUUGAUGAGGACAUCAUAUAUUGAGGGAGCUCCAAGAGGCUCACAAUGUAUGUCUGAGCACUGACUGCUUGUCUCAGCCUCUUAGGACCCUCUUGCAUAGAGUAUCUCCUGGAACAAUAAUCUUAAAGAAUUUGCACAGCAAGCAACUUCUGCUAUCACUCAACUCUGCCCAUAGUGCAAAAGCACCCACAGACAAUGUGUAAAAAUAUGAAUGUGGCUGUAUUAGAAUUAUUUUAUUUACCAAAACAAAUGGCGGCCAGAUUUGACCUGCAGGCCAGAGUUGGCUAAUUUCUCAUUAGAGGAUGGGAUGCUGUAGUCAGUGGCAUGCAAUGUCAAGAGAGGCUCAAAGAUAAUCACCUGCAGUCAUCUCAAGCGAAGUCCACACUGAAGGCAAAGCUAUUUCAAACUCAGUCAUCGCUGCUACAGACCAAUGAAGGGCAUGAGGAAUAAGAAGGUCAUGAACUGGGCUAAAUGCAUCUAACUGCACUGGAGACCUUAAAGAAAAUUACAAACUGAGGUAAUCUAGGGCACAGUUUCUGAGGUCCAGCACCUAAUGCCAUUUAUGGUGAAGAAGUGAAUCGAGGCAGCAAUGGUGUUUUCUCCUUAGUGUGCUUGGGCAUUUCUAUGGAAACAUCAUCCCUGACUGCUUUAUUUCCAUUUGUGUAACAUUCAAGCCCAGAUCUAGCAACUUCCUGGAGACUGUGAAAUACUUCUACUUAAACCAGACAGAGUGGAUUCUGUGGCCCGCUACUAAGAAUUCUGACCAAUAGGUGUCUCCUCUACUAGAGCUCCCAGCAUGGAACGUUUACUUUAGUUAUUACAUUUCUGUCCCCUUUAGUAGAGGGAGAAUAUAAUUUAUGCACCUCUGUAGCUCCAGCACAAUGCCUGGCAAACAGAAGGCACCUAUUAAAUGAGUAGAGAAGAACAGAUUAGAAAAAAACACACAUAAAAAGUACUGCUUUAGUUAGAAUGGUGGGAUAAGUAAUUUUUAAAUGAUGUUUUAAUAUAUUUUAAGUGCCUAGGUAAGGUCAGUAUUAUUCAUUCAAGACCAAGUAGCCUAGGAGUAUUCAUAUUCAGGAUCACAAGUCCUAAUGAAUGACUGCUAAUUCUCUUUAUUUCCACUGGUAAGUCUGAAUUCAGUUUCAAAGGUUUGUACAUUUAUGUCCAGAACAGUGAUAGCUACAUGAAGUCAUGAUCAGGAAGAUGUGUUCCCUCUUAUGAUCAGAGUCUGUCUUACAAUAAAUGGAUGGAGGAUUAUAGAAAGUUAAGGCAAGAUCACUGGAUGAGAUGGACUUGGGACCAGGCUAACGAAAUCAGAAACUGAUGAUCAUAAAAACAAUGCCUAGAAUUCACUAUAACUCAUGCUACAUCACAGUUUGGAGAGUGAUUAUAAAUGAAAUGAAGUUGUGUCCUUUCGUAACAUCAGAAAAUGGUUAUUUUCUUUUCUUUCUUUUUUUCUUUUGCUUUUUAGGGCCACAAGUGCAGCAUGUGGAAGUUCCCAGGAGCGGCCCAAGAAAUGGCAAAAAGAAAAAAAAAAAAGGAACAAAAAUGAGAUCAAAAUCAUAAUGAAUCAAGAAGCCUACGGAACUACAGUAACAGAAAGUUUGGGGAAAGGAAAAAAACAUUUGAAAACUAUUUUUCCCACCUGCUGUGGGAAAGAGGGAGCUCUGACUUCGAGUAAAAGGAAUUCCAUCCCCUAAAAGAUGAUCAAGAUUCUUUCUACCAUCUCCCCAAAGAUCAGAGUUAAUGAAUGUUUCCAUCUGUCUGAGAAGAGUAAGGCUCAUAAAUAGAGUCUUAUACCAAAAACAGCUUCUGGUGAAUCUACAGAUUCAAACGCAAAACUAUCAAACCGUAUAAGUACUAGAAAAAUCCACAGCACAGCAUUUUAUAACCUCACAAUGGGGGAGGUCUUCCCAAACAUUACAUAAAACCCAGAAGUCAUUAAAGAAAAUACUGACACAUUUGACUGUGUAUAUAAAUAAAAAAUCUUCUGCAGGGCGAAAAUCAUGAUCAGCAAAGUAAAAACCAAGUGUCAAACCAGGAAAAACAAUUUCAUAUCAUGAAUAGCAUAUUUUCUUACCUCAUGGAGAGCUUCUCUAGAAACUGAUAAGGCAAAGACGAACAACCCAAAGAUAAAAUAAGCUCAGAAAGUGAACACAGAAUUUACAGAAAAGGAAAUACAUAUGGCUUUGAAUAUAUUAAAAGACCUCAAUCUUACUCUAUUUUUCAUCUACCAUUGAACAAUAUCAAAAAGUCUGAUAACACAGUUUAGUGCUGGAAAACAGGAAUUCUCAUCCAUUGCUGAUGUGUCAUACAUUGGCAGAAUACCACUUGGGAAUCAAUAUAAAGAAUUCACACAUCUGCCUUGGCAAAUCACUUUUAGCAAUUUAUCACAAAAGCAUACUUUCACAAGUGUGAAAUAUGUAUUCGCUGCAGCAAAAGAUUAGGAAUAAUCUAAAUACCCAUUAAUAAAGGAUUGGUUAAAUAAAUCAAGGUACUUUCCAAUAAGAGAAGCCUAUGUAACCACAAUAAUUUAGAAAAAC
ensembl:lncRNA